UCCGGUGUAGCUCAAUCGGCAGAGCACGCGGCUGUUAACCGCGGGGUUGUAAGUUCGAGUCUUACCACCGGAGCCA
rnacentral:tRNA from 1 species